rnacentral:misc_RNA from 1 species
GAUGAAGAACGUAGCGAAAUGGGAUAAGUAGUGUGAAUUGCAGAAUUCAGUGAAUCAUCGAAUCUUUGAACGCACAUUGCGCCCUUUGGUAUUCCUUAGGGCAUGCCUGUUCGAGCGUCAUUUAAACCUUCAAGCUCAGCUUGGUGUUGGGUGACUGUCCGCUUCACCGCGGACUCGCCUCAAAAUUAUUGGCGGCCGGUACAUUGGCUUCGAGCGCAGCAGAAACGCGAACUCGGGCCCGUCGUAUUGGCUCCCAGAAGCUAUCUUCACAAUUUUGACCUCGGAUCAGGUAGGGAUACCCGCUGAACUUAAGCAUAUCAAUAAGCGGAGGA